GUUACUGUCAUUUGAAAAUGCUUGCAAUUUAAAAGGUGAGUUUUUUUUCUUCAUCUUUUUCGUCUUUUUUUUUUUUUUUUUCGUUUGGUUUUUUAUGCUUACUAAUUUGGGAUUGAGAUGCAGUUGAUUGAUUCAUUAUUUUGUUAAGUAAAUUUUUCUGUGGAAAGUUUGAAAUCCUUAUUACCGUUUUUGUGUGUUAUAGAAUAUUUGUUAAUUGGAGGGAAGAAUGUAGAAAUUCCUUAACACUAUGAAGCGUUUUGCUGCUUUGGGCAGCUGUAACUUAGACUCUGGAGAAACAAAAAUGAGAGGAAUAGAUGAAUUGGGGGCGGGGGGGCGGGCAAGGUAUUGGGCGGUGGGUUUGGUUCCUAAGGUCUUCUUAGUUAGGGAUUAAGUUAAAAUUUAUCCUGUUGUUAUUUGGGUAAAGAUUUCAUACCUGUUAAGUAUUAUUUAGAAUGUGCGUUUAGGUGGUUUUGUUAAAUAUGAAAGUUAUCAACUUUAUGGACAUUCCUGCAUGCCUUAUUUCUUCGUCGCUGAAACUGUAAAUUUUGCAGUCUACAUAGUGGUGAUAGGCUUUGCUGAAAGAAAAAAGAUAAAACUUUUUAAUCUUGUUAACUGGAGGAGUCAUAUCCCUGUGGAGUCUGAUUCCUUAACUUUGGACGUGUAGUAUCAAUGCUGAGAUUAGUUGAUUACCUUGUCAGUUUUUUGCAUUGGCUUCUCCUUUCUUCUCUUCCUCUUGUUUCUUUCUCUUCAUAUUUGUAAAUGCCUGCAAGGUCAUGAAAAUUUGUUUUUCGCUACUUUGCUGGAAUUAGAUUUCUUGAAUUAUUUGAAUUGAAGGUUACAGUUUGUCUUUAAACGGGCUGCUGGAUGAGUUAAUUUGGUGAUCUGCACGUCGGAACUCUCUUGGACCGCCAGGUGGGAUCGUGCACCCAAGCAUUGCUAAUUCUAUUGAUAGCUGGCUGUUUGAGAUGUAUGGUCAGGGUAACUAUGCCACUCAGAUAGGUCAAAAUGCUAAUACGUCUAGGCCUCCAUUGCAGCAGUGGCCUCCUCCCCCCUCCCCUCCUCCUUCCUGCCUCU
rnacentral:lncRNA from 1 species